UACGUAGGGGGCAAGCGUUGUCCGGAUUUAUUGGGCGUAAAGAGCGUGUAGGCGGCCAUACAGGUCAGCUGUGAAAACUCGAGGCUCAACCUCGAGACGUCGGUUGAAACCGUAUGGCUAGAGUCCGGAAGAGGAGAGUGGAAUUCCCGGUGUAGCGGUGAAAUGCGCAGAUAUCAGGAGGAACACCAAUGGCGAAGGCAGCUCGCUGGGACGGUACUGACGCUGAGACGCGAAAGCGUGGGGAGCAAACAGG
rnacentral:rRNA from 1 species